rnacentral:tRNA from 1 species
CAACGAGGUGGAGCGGGCCCGCCGCUCCAGCGCGGCCCGCAACCGCUCGGUCGGCCGGUCCUGUCCGGCCGGCGGUGGGUUCGGGCCGGGCUCGUCGA